GGUGACAUUAAGAUAAAAGGACGGAGAUUGGAAAAUAGAUGGUAGUGGAACUUUUACCAUUAAUAAGCAGUUGGAGAUGGAACUUUUACCAUCAAUAAGCAGUUGGAGAUGGAACUUUUACCAUCAAUAAGCAGUUGGAGAUGGAACUUUUACCAUCAAUAAGCAGUUGGAGAUGGAACUUUUACCAUCAAUAAGCAGUUGGAGAUGGAACUUUUACCAUCAAUAAGCAGUUGGAGAUGGAACUUUUACCAUCAAUAAGCAGUUGGAGAUGGAACUUUUACCAUCAAUAAGCAGUUGGAGAUGGAACUUUUACCAUCAAUAAGCAGUUGGAGAUGGAACUUUUACCAUCAAUAAGCAGUUGGAGAUGGAACUUUUACCAUCAAUAAGCAGUUGGAGAUGGAACUUUUACCAUCAAUAAGCAGUUGGAGAUGGAACUUUUACCAUCAAUAAGCAGUUGGAGAUGGAACUUUUACCAUCAAUAAGCAGUUGGAGAUGGAACUUUUACCAUCAAUAAGCAGUUGGAGAUGGAACUUUUACCAUCAAUAAGCAGUUGGAGAUGGAACUUUUACCAUCAAUAAGCAGUUGGAGGUGGAACUUUUAACAUCAAUAUGUGGGAGAUUGACUGUACCAUUUCCAGGUUAACCAGUAUAAUUUUCACUUGCUAAAC